CUACCGGCGUCCACAAGUUGUUCUGAGUUCUUCUCUUUCCCUCUGGAUCAGGCAGAACGAGCUGAACACCAGUCACAAAAACACUCCACACAGUGCACAAUGUCUGUAAAGCUAUGCAGGGAGUUUUGAGCAAAUAAGCAGAAGCUAUGGAGAUCCUUCUUUGUACCUCAAAGCAGCCAGGAAGUAGGGAGAAGAGUGAAGGAAGAAAAAGGAAAGCUCUCUCCCAUCAACAAAAACAAAGGAAGAGGAGAAGCAUCGGCAUUCCUUCCCCUCUGUUUACAGAGGGAAAGAAGAUUGGUUGCCUUAUAUCAUUCUGGAAUGGCAAGAGUGAGCAAGAUUACAUUUAUGUAACUUUGAGACUGCCAACAGAAGACAGAGUGAAAUUAGAUGGAAGAUAUUAAUAGGAACACAGUCCAUAGGGAAUCAUAUAUACUAUAUUGUAUUGAUAAGACCACUUCCUCACAUUAUCGAAGCAG